rnacentral:rRNA from 1 species
UGGGGAAUAUUGCGCAAUGGGGGAAACCCUGACGCAGCAAUACCGCGUGAGUGAAGAAGGUUUUCGGAUCGUAAAACUCUUUUAUUGGGGAAGAAGAAGUGACGGUACCCAAUGAAGAAGUCCCGGCUAACUACGUGCCAGCAGCCGCGGUAAUACGUAGGGGACAAGCGUUGUCCGGAAUCACUGGGCGUAAAGGGCGCGUAGGCGGUUUCAUAAGUCAGAUGUGAAAGGUACCGGCUCAACCGGUGACGUGCAUUUGAAACUGUAAGACUUGAGUACUGGAGAGGCAAGUGGAAUUCCUAGUGUAGCGGUGAAAUGCGUAGAUAUUAGGAGGAACACCGGUGGCGAAGGCGGCUUGCUGGACAGAUACUGACGCUGAGGUGCGAAAGCGUGGGGAGCGAACAG